rnacentral:rRNA from 1 species
CAAUAGCGUAUAUUAAAGUUGUUGCAGUUAAAAAGCUCGUAGUUGGAUUUCGGGGCAGCCUGGCUGGUCCGCCGCAAGGCGAGUACUGGUCAGCCGCCCUUCCUCUCGAAAGCCCCGACUGCUCUUCGUUGCAGUGGUCGGGUAGUUCGGGACGUUUACUUUGAAAAAAUUAGAGUGUUCAAGGCAGGCCUACGCCGGAAUACAUUAGCAUGGAAUAAUGGAAGAGGACCUCGGUCCUAUUUUGUUGGUUUCCAGGGCCGAAGUAAUGAUUAAGAGGGACAGUUGGGGGCAUUCGUAUUUAAUUGUCAGAGGUGAAAUUCUCGGAUUUAUGAAAGACGAACAACUGCGAAAGCAUUUGCCAAGGAUGUUUUCAUUAA